rnacentral:rRNA from 1 species
UACGUAGGGUGCAAGCGUUGUCCGGAAUUAUUGGGCGUAAAGAGCUCGUAGGCGGCUUGUCACGUCGGAUGUGAAAUCCCGAGGCUCAACCUCGGGCCUGCAUUCGAUACGGGCUAGCUAGAGUACUGCAGGGGAGACUGGAAUUCCUGGUGUAGCGGUGAAAUGCGCAGAUAUCAGGAGGAACACCGGUGGCGAAGGCGGGUCUCUGGGCCGAUACUGACGCUGAGGAGCGAAAGCUAGGGGAGCAAACGGG